CCUACGGGUGGCAGCAGUGAGGAAUAUUGGUCAAUGGCCGUGAGUCUGAACCAGCCAAGUCGCGUGACGGAAGAAUGAUCUAUGGUUUGUAAACUUCUUUUAUAUGGGCAUAACAGUAUCCCCGUGUGGAUAUUUGCAUGUACCCUAUGAAUAAGCAUCGGCUAACUCCGUGCCAGCAGCCGCGGUAAUACGGAGUAUGCGAGCGUUAUCCGGAUUUAUUGGGUUUAAAGGGUGCGUAGGUGGUUUUUUAAGUCAGUGGUGAAAGUUUGUGGCUCAACCAUAAAAUUGCAGUUGAAACUGGAAGUCUGGAGUAUAGUAGAGGUAGGCGGAAUGCGUGGUGUAGCGGUGAAAUGCAUAGAUAUCACGAAGAACUCCGAUUGCGAAGGCAGCUUACUAAACCAUAACUGACACUGAGGCACGAAAGCGUGGGGAUCAAACAGGAUUAGAUACCCGUGUAGUC
rnacentral:rRNA from 1 species